AGCGAACGCUGGCGGCAGGCUUAACACAUGCAAGUCGAGCGGGCAUCCUUGUGGUGUCGGCGGCAGACGGGUUAGUAACGCGUGAGAACGUUCCCUUCUGUUCGGAAUAACUCAGGGCAACUUGAGCUACUACCGAAUACGUCCGAGAGCAGAAAGGUUUAUCUGCCGAAGGAUCGGCCCGCGUCUGAUUAGCUAGUUGGUUAGGUUAUGGCUCACCAAGGCGACGAUCCGUAGCUGGUCUGAGAGGAUGAUCAGCCACACUGGGACUGAGACACGGCCCAGACUCCUACGGGAGGCAGCAGUGGGGAAUAUUGGACAAUGGGGGCAACCCUGAUCCAGCCAUGCCGCGUGAGUGAUGACGGCCUUAGGGUUGUAAAGCUCUUUUCUCCGGGACGAUAAUGACGGUACCGGAGGAAUAAGCCCCGGCUAACUUCGUG
rnacentral:rRNA from 1 species